GCUUUUCGGAUUUUUUCUGUCUUCUAUAAGAUUCCAACAUAACUUUGUUUUUGCCAAAAGUCAUCUACUUCUGAUUUUCACUCAACUGUAAAGGAGAAAAAUUGUAACUUGGAGAUCUAAAAAUUGAGUUCAACCCAUCAACUGUUUCCGGUGUAUUUGUCUCCUCCAAAGAGUACGAGCGGAGCUUGCAGCAGUAAGCCGGGCAGAGCUUACAGCAGGCCCUGCAAGCGUAGAAAGUUAGUAUCUUGCUGUCUCUAAUGUGUAUAUCACGGGGUUGCUGGGUAGUUUAGAAAUGAAAAACAUCCAUGCCUAUUUUCCUGUCGUUCUUUUGUGGAUACCGCCAUAUUUUUGAUGUGUAUAGUGGCUGUUUAUUUUGCAACGAAAUGACAGGUUUGGAUCAAGUAUGUAAAGUUUUAAGGUCUGUUUAGAUUCGGUGUACACAAAACCUCUUAUGGAACUUAUAUUUCUUGAAAUGCUAAUGUAUGAGCAUGCUUCCGUAUAUGUAAAUUAAUUUCCCUUUGGACUUGUUUUCUUCUCAUGUAUACUUGGCUUGUUUUUCACUGUUAAAAAGAAGUGUACUGUGUGCAUUAACUUUGCCUGAAUCUCCGAAGUGAACUGCCUAAUAAGUUUUCUCUUUACAUGUUAUCCUCUAGUAAUCAAGUGAUACUAGUGGUGGGUUUUAUUUGGA